UCGUCUGCUCGAGCCUCCUCACGUCCUGUUACCAAAUAAAAUAUUAAUUCCCAACCAAUAAUCCAAUAUUUAAUCAAAAUAGGCAAAAUUACCCGAGAGCCAUAAAUACGCUCAUCAUUGCCUAACUUCGAUAUUCUUAAAUCGGAACGAUCCGAACUUAAAUAUCAUACUCAACAGUCGUAAAUACAACCUCUCCAAAAUACGACUUAAAUCCUACGGCCGGAUUCUACAUUAAUUAACCGCCAAAAAUACCAAACUUCGGAAAUUCACAAACCUAUCCAAAUCUCAUCCAAAAAUUCCAUAAAUCACACCAAUAUACUCUUCUUAAUAUUCCACAUUUAAAACCCUAAAAAUCUCCUAACCGGCGGCGGCCGGCAGCCGUUUUCCGGCGACCUCCUAUGCUCACCAAAAAUUGGCAGCAUCUUCCUCUCAACCUCCUCUACAACAUUCCUAACUACCACAAACUCCAAUUCUAAGCCUAACCAUGUCGAUCGAACACAAACAACCAUAAAUCCCUAAAACUUUCAAUUAAACAAACCUCCCUAACGAAAUCGAAUUUAGUCGAAACCUUUUGAGGGAUCACUCACCUAGAUGAGGGCUACAAGUUGAGCCAAAAAUCACGACCUAUGGUGGCCGGAAGACGGAGCUCCGGCGAAGGACCCUUUCCGGCAGUCGAACCUUUCGGGGUUGACCGCUCCUUCACGGCGGCGUUCCGGGCGCGUGCACCGGUCCAGGAUGAGAGAGGAAGAGGCAAGGGUCCGAACGGGACCAGUCUGGCGGUCGGUGGUGGCCGGACGGCGGCGGACGGCGGUGGUGAAAUUUCCGGGUGCAGAGAGGAGAAAAUCGGGUGGGAGGAGAGAGAAUCGGGAGAGAGGGAGAAGAGAAAAAGGGUUUUGGGGCUCACCCCAAACCGGUCCACAACACUUAACCCAAUCUUCCAAAAAUAAAAACACCCCGAAAAAAUAAUACCCGAAUAAAAAUUACCUUUUACUAGCUAAAAUUUACCAUUUUUACCGUCGUCGUAUUUUCCUCAUACGAAUAAUUCUCCGCACAUAAUCGUCCCCGAAACCCCUCUAGGGACCAAUUAAACUAUUUACUCAAUGACGGAGACGGUAGAAUUCUUAUUAUAAUCAGGCUAGUAAAUAAGGUAAAAAUAUAAGGGUCGGGAUGUGACAAUUCUCCCCUCAUAAAAAUUUCGUCCUCGAAAUUAACAUACAUGUCAUCCGAAGAGAUACGGAUACUGCUGCAUCAUUUGCUCCUCUGAUUCCCAAGUAGCUUCUUCUACUUGAUGUGACACGACCCACCCCGAAUUUCACCCUGAAACCCAGAGUAAGUCGUGCGGGGACCAC
rnacentral:lncRNA from 1 species